AUGAUGUCGAGGGAGCGCAAGAAAGCGGCAGCUCUGCAGGAGAAGCUGCAACUCCUUCGCUCUCUCACCCACUCCCAUGCUCUGAGCAACACGUCCAUAAUCAUGGACGCCUCCAAGUACAUCAAGGAGCUGAAGCAGAAGGUGGUGAUGCUGAAUCAGGAGAUCGCUUGCGCGGCGCAAGACUCGCGCAGCAGACAGACCUCCUACCCGACGGUGAACGUUGAAACCCUAGGACACGGGUCGUUCCUCGUCAAUGUAUUGUCAGACAAGAGCUGCCCGGGGCUUCUGGUUUCCAUCCUCGAGGCCUUGGACGAGUUGGGCCUCAGCGUCCUCCAAGCCACGGCCACUUGCGCGGAUACUUUCCGCCUAGAAGCCAUAGGAGGGGAGAACCUGAUGGAGAACGUGGAUGAGCACGUCCUGAAGCAGGCCGUGCUGCGGGCCUGCUCCUCGCACAGCGGCGGCGGCAACAAGCAAACAUAG
rnacentral:rRNA from 1 species